rnacentral:piRNA from 1 species
UGAGCACUGCUGCCCGAUGGCCAUCCC